UUAGGGCCGAAGUAAUGAUUGAUAGGGAUAGUUGGGGGUGCUUGUAUUGAACGGCCAGAGGCGAAAUUCUUGGAUUCGUUCAAGACAAACUACUGCGAAAGCAUUCACCAAGGAUGUCUUCUUUAAUCAAGAACGAAAGUUGGGGGAUCGAAGACGAUCAGAUACCGUCGUAGUCCUAACCAUAAACGAUGCCGACUAAGGAUUGGUGGGUGUCGUUUUUUUCAUGACCCCAUCGGCACUUUACGAGAAAUCAAAGUUUUUGGGUUCCGGGGGGAGUAUGGUCGCAAGGCUGAAACUUAAAGGAAUUGACGGAAGGGCACCACCAGGAGUGGAGCCUGCGGCUUAAUUUGACUCAACGCGGGAAAACUUACCAGGUCCAGACUCAGUUAGGAUUGACAGAUUGCAGAUCUUUCUUGAUUCUGAGGGUGGUGGUGCAUGGCCGUUCUUAGUUGGUGGAGUGAUUUGUCUGGUUAAUUCCGUUAACGAACGAGACCUCAGCCUGCUAAAUAGUCGGGCGAAUUUUAUUCGUUUUCCAUUUCCGACUUCUUAGAGGGACUGUCUGUAUCUAGCAGAAGGAAGUGUGAGGCAAUAACAGGUCUGUGAUGCCCUUAGAUGUCCUGGGCCGCACGCGGGCUACAAUGUUGCAUGCAACGAGUUUCAGUUCCCUCCUUGACCGAAAGGUUUGGGUAAUCUUUGAAAGUGCAACGUGCUUGGGAUAGACUAUUGCAAUUAUUAGUCUUCAACCAGGAAUUCCUAGUAAACGCGAGUCAUCAGCUCGCAUUGAUUACGUCCCUGCCCUUUGUACACACCGCCCGUCGCUCCUACCGAUUGAAUGAUCCGGCGAAAUCUUUGGACCGUCGCUGUGGGUCGGUUUUCCGACUUGCAGUGUAUGGGAAGUUGAUUAAACCUUAUCAUUUAGAGGAAGGAGAAGUCGUAACAAGGUAUCCGUAGGUGAACCUGCAGAAGGAUCA
rnacentral:rRNA from 1 species